rnacentral:tRNA from 1 species
GGAGGUAUAGCUCUGUAGUUGAGCACCUGCCUACUAAGUGUGAGGCUCUGAGUUCAAAACUUCAGUACUUCCA